UGUUAAAAAAUCUUAUCCUUUUGUACUGUUAAAAACUGAUGUGGAUGACAAAUUAAUCAGCCAGUGACAUGUCGCAUGCCACCUGACCCUCAUGCUAGCGUACAAGGGCUAGUUUUUAACGGUAGAAAUGAAUGUAAUUUUUAACA
rnacentral:pre_miRNA from 1 species